ACGUCCUACGGGAGAAAGCAGGGGACCUUCGGGCCUUGCGCUAUCAGAUGAGCCUAGGUCGGAUUAGCUAGUUGGUGAGGUAAUGGCUCACCAAGGCGACGAUCCGUAACUGGUCUGAGAGGAUGAUCAGUCACACUGGAACUGAGACACGGUCCAGACUCCUACGGGAGGCAGCAGUGGGGAAUAUUGGACAAUGGGCGAAAGCCUGAUCCAGCCAUGCCGCGUGUGUGAAGAAGGUCUUCGGAUUGUAAAGCACUUUAAGUUGGGAGGAAGGGUUGUAGAUUAAUACUCUGCAAUUUUGACGUUACCGACAGAAUAAGCACCGGCUAACUCUGUGCCAGCAGCCGCGGUAAUACAGAGGG
rnacentral:rRNA from 1 species